AAAUCGGCCCUUUUAAGGGCCACCAUUUUUUUUAUUUUUAACUUUG
rfam:Harpegnathos saltator strain R22 G/1 HarSal_1.0_2.contig3343, whole genome shotgun sequence.